UACGAAGGGGGCUAGCGUUGCUCGGAAUUACUGGGCGUAAAGCGCACGUAGGCGGAUUGUUAAGUCGGGGGUGAAAUCCUGGAGCUCAACUCCAGAACUGCCUUCGAUACUGGCGAUCUCGAGUUCGGGAGAGGUGAGUGGAACUGCGAGUGUAGAGGUGAAAUUCGUAGAUAUUCGCAAGAACACCAGUGGCGAAGGCGGCUCACUGGCCCGAUACUGACGCUGAUACGCGAAAGCCAGGGGAGCAAACGGG
rnacentral:rRNA from 1 species